rnacentral:rRNA from 1 species
GACGAACGCUGGCGGCGUGCUUAACACAUGCAAGUCGAACGGAAAGGCCCUUCGGGGUACUCGAGUGGCGAACGGGUGAGUAACACGUGGGUGAUCUGCCCUGCACUUUGGGAUAAGCCUGGGAAACUGGGUCUAAUACCGAAUAGGACCACGCGCUUCAUGGUGUGUGGUGGAAAGCUUUUGCGGUGUGGGAUGGGCCCGCGACCUAUCAGCUUGUUGGUGGGGUAAUGGCCUACCAAGGCGACGACGGGUAACCGGCCCGAGAGGGUGACCGGCCACACUGGGACUGCGAUACGACCCAGACUCCUCCGGGAGGCAGCAGUGGGGAAUAUUGCACAAUGGGCGCAAGCCUUAUGCAGCGACGCCGCGUGAGGGAUGACGGCCUUCGGGUUGUAAACCUCUUUCACUAGGAACGAAGCGCAAGUGACGGUACCUAUAGAAGAAGCACCGGCCAACUACGUG